rnacentral:rRNA from 1 species
CAGUAGCCGCGGGAAUACGAAGGGUGCAAGCGUUACUCGGAAUUACUGGGCGUAAAGCGUGCGUAGGUGGUGGUUUAAGUCCGUUGUGAAAGCCCUGGGCUCAACCUGGGAAUUGCAGUGGAUACUGGGUCACUAGAGUGUGGUAGAGGAUAGUGGAAUUUCCGGUGUAGCAGUGAAAUGCGUAGAGAUCGGAAGGAACAUCUGUGGCGAAGGCGACUAUCUGGGCCAACACUGACACUGAGGCACGAAAGCGUGGGGAGCAAACAGGAUUAGAUACCCCGGUAGUCCCUGUCUCUUAUAU